rnacentral:rRNA from 1 species
CAGUAGCCACGGUAAUACGUAGGUGGCAAGCGUUGUCCGGAAUUAUUGGGCGUAAAGGGCUCGCAGGCGGUUUCUUAAGUCUGAUGUGAAAGCCCCCGGCUCAACCGGGGAGGGUCAUUGGAAACUGGGAAACUUGAGUGCAGAAGAGGAGAGUGGAAUUCCACGUGUAGCGGUGAAAUGCGUAGAGAUGUGGAGGAACACCAGUGGCGAAGGCGACUCUCUGGUCUGUAACUGACGCUGAGGAGCGAAAGCGUGGGGAGCGAACAGGAUUAGAUACCCGAGUAGUCCCUGUCUCUUAUAC